rnacentral:tRNA from 1 species
AGAAAUAAACUAUAUGAACUUCUAAUUCAUUAAAUUAUGGUAAUAUCAUAUUAUUUCUU